rnacentral:rRNA from 1 species
GAAUCUUGCGCAAUGGGGGAAACCCUGACGCAGCGACGCCGCGUGAAGGAUGACGGCCUUCGGGUUGUAAACUUCUUUUAAGAGGGAAGAAGAAAGUGACGGUACCUCUUGAAUAAGCCCCGGCUAACUACGUGCCAGCAGCCGCGGUAAUACGUAGGGGGCGAGCGUUGUCCGAAGUUACUGGGCGUAAAGCGCGCGUAGGCGGGCACUUAAGUCGGAUGUGAAAUCUCCACGGCUCAACCGGGAAAUUGCAUCCGAAACUGGGCGCCUUGAGGUAUGGAGAGGGAAGUGGAAUUCCUGGUGUAGCGGUGAAAUGCGUAGAUAUCAGGAGGAACACCCGUGGCGAAGGCGGCUUCCUGGCCAUAUCCUGACGCUGAGGUGCGAAAGCCAGGGGAGCGAACGG